GAUGAACGCUGGCGGCGUGCCUAAUACAUGCAAGUCGAGCGAAUGGAUUAAGAGCUUGCUCUUAUGAAGUUAGCGGCGGACGGGUGAGUAACACGUGGGUAACCUGCCCAUAAGACUGGGAUAACUCCGGGAAACCGGGGCUAAUACCGGAUAACAUUUUGAACCGCAUGGUUCGAAAUUGAAAGGCGGCCUCGGCUGCCACUUACGGAUGGACCCGCGUCGCAUUAGCUAGUUGGUGAGGUAACGGCUCACCAAGGCAACGAUGCGUAGCCGACCUGAGAGGGUGAUCGGCCACACUGGGACUGAGACACGGCCCAGACUCCUACGGGAGGCAGCAGUAGGGAAUCUUCCGCAAUGGACGAAAGUCUGACGGAGCAACGCCGCGUGAGUGAUGAAGGCUUUCGGGUCGUAAAACUCUGUUGUUAGGGAAGAACAAGUGCUAGUUGAAUAAGCUGGCACCUUGACGGUACCUAACCAGAAAGCCACGGCUAACUACGUGCCAGCCGCCGCCGUAA
rnacentral:rRNA from 1 species